ensembl:lncRNA
CGAGGGAGAGCGGCUGAAAGAUGGGUGAAGUGAGUUCCACGUGGGGAUGAACGGACUCCUCGCGAAACCCCGGCUGAGUCCGACAGAAAUCAGUCGGUGCUGCGUGCGAGAACGUCUCGUUUACACUUCGCAAAACAGCCGGUGGUUUUCUGAGCGCAAUACUGAGCAAAACUCCUUUGAUCGCUUCAGGGCUGAAGGGAGCCUCGCUUGCCGGGGCACAGUGGGGAGGGACGGGGAGCCCAACCCCCCGUGGCACCGGGAAUGGGAAGAAAGCGGGGUUUUGUGUGGCCUCAGCUGCGAGAGUAGAGAGCGUCACUGGCGGGAGAGCAGCAGCCCUCAGCCCGCUGAGGGAUCCCAGCGCGCUCCAGAGCAGCGGGGUCACGGCCGCGGCCAGGCGAGGUGCUGCUUCUCCCCUGGCAGCACGAGAGAAUCCAAAGCUGGGAACACCAGGUCCCUUCGUGUGCAAGAUUAGUCUUUUCUUGCCUGCUGUAUGUUUAAAAUGUAAUGUGUUCUGAACCUUCUGGGACCUAACUCGCAGCUCCACAGGUAAGCUCCAAAAAUACGGGGCUUCCUCCUGCUGCACCGCACCACCAGCAGCAACCACGUCCUUCUUCUCUAUUCACAGGAUUCUGUUACCGAUGAGUCCGCGUGCGCAACCUCUCAUCAAACGCAAGAGGUGCUCCCAGGAUCUCAGCAUCUCUCUCCCAUGGCAGGGACGGGAUAGGCAGCACGAGGGGAAGUUGCUUAUAAGCACCGUCGUGUAGCGUCAGAGCUGCAGGUUUGAAAGCUCUGAGAGCCAACCUCACAGAACCUUCCUGCUCUGAAGCACCAGCACCUUGCUCAUUCACAAAAUCACUCUGAGGAAGAAGGCAAAAUGAAUUUUUGCAUUAGGGACACAUCACUGGUUUCUCCGUAGUGCUGAUAACACAACUUUAGUGAAAAUCUCGGACCUUUUGCUACACAGAAUAACCAUGUUGCCCUGAAUGGUUAUUGUUUAGUGAAACAUCUGAAAACACAUAAUAGACUACUUGUUUGCAACGCUUGCUAUAGAUUUUGUAAUGAAGUGCCGUUGCGCUGCAUCAAUUUGACAGUUCGAGUUGAUAAUUUGACAGAAAGAUUAAUCCUAAACUCCCAGCAUAAACAGAAUUCCCUUUAAUGUCAGAAGGGACUUUGUAACUGCCAGCCCAAACGCUGCGGAUGGGCUUCAGCAGGUUACAGAGAGCGUCUUCAGGAUCAAAUUUGACAUUCCUCUUCCUGACUAACAGUUGGUAGUUGAAAAUAGAACACCUCUCCCAGUUCUGAAUUCUGACCCUCACUUCUUGCUCACCCAAACCGAGGACUUCCAGACUUCUUUUCCCAAACGCUCACCGCGAAGGCUUUUGAAUGCAGAUGUUCACUCGUGUCUCCUGACAGUAGGCUCAGUUUUCUCAGCUACUUUUAGUAAGCUCCUAAAAACAGCCCACGGUCCCUCAGAACCUCAUCAACAACUGGCUAAAAGCCACGGUCUCACUGUAUCCUUUUUUCUUUUGGUAUCUACUGCAGACUUUGGACGGGUACAGAAGUUCUACCUCUCUGGGUCCAGGUCUCUCUGUCUGACAGCACAUUAUUUCUGCAGCUGUCACAUGUCCUCAUUUUCUAGAGCUGUUAUUACCUUUACAUAAUACGUAUUAUUAUAUUACAUAUUCUUCAGAAGUUGUUCUUCCAGUGGCAACAUAUGGAGGACCAUCAACCGUCAAGACGGAAGUUCAUGCAACUGUCAAGACUGAAUUUCAUGCAUUCAGAAUGCUUAGGCACCAUCUGACACUCGUAGAGACCCUAACGUUAAAUACAUCUACUGAACUGUGACAGCACACAUUUCUUGUGUGAAAGCCUAUAUUUCUGAUAAGGAAACCUGGUUCAGCAGCGCUCAAUGUGGAUUCUGGAUAACAUCUUAAAGAGGCCAACCAGCCAUUCCGUGCAUACAGAAACACGCCUGUGAACUUCUCCCUGCAGUCAGCUCCUUCAGCUCCCCACUUCCACGCCAGUGAUGUUAUUUCACCCACACCUUGCAGAAGGGGCGCAUUCCACUCAUUCCUGAGCUGGGACGAGCGCCCGCAGCAUUACUCACCCACAGCAGUGUCUGUAGAUCCCUGUCUGCUGUGGAUACUAAUCUCAAUCCAGAGCUUCCUCAGACGAUUAGAGGCUGUUCUGCAAAAUGUCAAUACGCAGCCUCUCCGAAGCCAACACGGUGUGGUGGUUGAAAUGGGAGCCGUGGAGGCUUUCCAAAUAUGAAGGUCUGGAAAUGUUUGGAGGUAUUUUAAUAUUGAUGAAUACUUCAGAUUUUUUUUUUUUUUUUCUGUUGCUUCGGUGUAUCAGUGUCAAAUCUGUGUGGAUUAAUGGCAAGACAGUGCCCUAGUACCAUUCGUGUCUAUCAAAGUUCUGGCAAAUGCUAACAACUUACUGCUAUUAAUGAUCACUCUUUGCCCAGAAGUUCACAUAAUUCAUCAAAAAGCCAACAUUGAUAAGCAGAAAGAAAUUAAAUACUUCUGAGUCUUCUGUUAAAAUGCCUUUCUUUUUACUUUGUUUAACAUCUAAUGUCUCCUAUGGCAAAAGUAAGUAAGGGGAAGUCUUUUCCUUCUUCAGCAUGAAAGAGCACCCACACCACUCAAAAACAGUUGAGAUUAAACCUUUGAAAAGGUAUCAGCAGUGUGUGUAAAGCCAAAUUGGUAAAGUGUGCUCUAGACACCACUUUUGACUCUGGGGAAAAUGCUUUAUCAUCUGUCUACUGCUAUGCUCUGCCUAUUCAUCACCAUUACUCAGUAACUCUGCGGUGGCAGCUUUGUACUUAACAUGAAGCCAAAGAUCAGGGAGAGGCACACAUCAAACAAGACUUGAACUUGGAGAUGGCAAACCAUACGUUCUAGACCUCAUUCCUUUAAAGGACCGUACCUCGGAAUGAAACCUGUGAGCCUUCUCUAUAGUUUCAUUUGUUCAAUACAGUGCUCCACUUGUUCUGUAAAAGAAGUUGGCAAAAGCCCUGCUCUCCUGAGAUCUUGUCAUUCAUUGUGACUGAAACCUAAAAGGCUGCCCUAUGGUAGUAGGGCAGGUCUGGGGUACCCGAGAGACCUACCUGCUCCCUGUGCCUCCAUUCCACAUUCUUCACACACCUUGAAACCAAGGAACUGUCAAACACAGAAGCAAAGAUGGUGAGGGGUGUACACCCCCAUUCUUUGCAGCUUUCCAUGGCUGUAAAGCUCCCUGUGAAGCGACCUGAGAAUAUGUACAAUGACAGAAAACUCAUUUCUUCACCCGCCAUUUCCCAACAACAGCCAGUUCCAGCCCUUGUCAUUCUUCUACUUCUCCACACAGACGAAGGCAGGAGAGAAUUCUCUUGGUUUAACUUUAAUAAAUGGUGCUUGCUUUCCUGCCAGCAUCUCACCAGAAUCCUGCAUGACAGGUGAUUCAAUCUCUUGAUCUCAGUUAGAUUUACACGAAUUUUACGCACCCUAAUAUAUAAUGGCAAUGCAUUCACACUGCUGUGGCUAAAAGUCUGUCGAAAUCCCAAACACAUCAUGAGAAUACAUAACAAAUAUAUUCAGGACUAGAACAUGUCAUAUAUUAUCAGCACAGGAAAACAUUCUUUGUUCUUAGAAUCAAAGAACAGCGGAGACUGAAAGGCUCUUGUGAAGAGGAACCUAACUUCCCUCCUCAAUGAUGUUUCUACACACCGAUGAAAUGCCCCCUGAGCCUCCUCCAGGUUGAGCAGACUUGGAUCUCUGAGCCUCUUCUCUUACAUCAGAUGGUGAGAAAUCAUAGGAAGAGACACAAGGAGGCGAAAUGUAUGUGCUUCACCCUGAUAGGAUGCAGCCACAAGGGCUGAGGAUGCUGGCAGAAGUGACUGCCAAACUACUCUCUAUCAUUUUUGAAAGGAGAUCAUGGAGAAUGGGAGAGGUGCCUGAAGGCUGGAGAAAAACUGAUGUCACAAAGGGCAAGAAGGAGGACCUGUGAAACUAAAGGCCAGUCAGCCUCACAUCCAUACCCAGGAAGGUGAUGGAACAACUUACAUGCAACCUGCUCUAGGGAAACUGCUUUAGCAGUGGCGUUGCACUAGAUGAUCUCCAAAGCUUCCUUCCAGCCCUGUGAUUCUGUGAUUGUGUGAUUCUGUGAUACUUUAGAAUGUCACUGUCCGAACUAGAACCCAGUUCUUAUGUCCUGUAGGACAGCCCUGCCACUGCUGGAACACGUAAUGUAAAAUUUUUGCUGGGGGAAAACAAGAGAGUCUCCCUUUGGACUAGCUUGACUUUGAGCUCACUCACGAAAAACCAAUGACCUUUGAAAGAAUACAGAGAUGGCACCACUGACAGAUUUUUCCCCAGUUGGCUGCAAAUAAAGUUUUUUGAAAUAACUGCUAAAGCUGUAAUUUAUCAGACUUUUUCACAGAUUCCACAAAAGCUAGGAAACUCGAAAGGCUUUCUCCAGGCAGAACAUGCCAGUCAUUUGUGCAUGAAUUGCAAGAGGGGAAAUUAUAUGUUUCUUUUAGAGCUGUUGUUGCCAUCGUGGAAAGUGAACAAGCAUCUGUGCUUCAGAAAUCAGUGGAAGGAAGGUGUUCCGUGAAAGAGAGCAUGUGGGAAAGCGACUUGAAAUUGUGAGAGUAUAUGAAAGUAGCAGGAGUUCUGAAUGCCACUGGGGAGAAGAACUGGAACAAGGCUGACACAUGGAAAGGUGGUGAGAAAGCAAAAAGAAAUGUAAAGAGGAAUAUACUGAAGGGGGAAAAAAGAGAGAGAGAGAGAGAGAGAGAGAGAGAAAAAUUUGGCUAGGGAAUAGGUCUGAGCAAAUUCCAAAAGUGAGAGAGGAACAGAAAAAGAAGGAAAAAAUAUAGGGCAGAUGGAAGGUUUAUCUGUUGGAUAACUGUGCA